rnacentral:rRNA from 1 species
UAAGCAUAUCAAUAAGCGGAGGAAAAGAAACCAACAGGGAUUGCCCUAGUAACGGCGAGUGAAGCGGCAACAGCUCAAAUUUGAAAUCUGGCCCCUUUGGGGUCCGAGUUGUAAUUUGCAGAGGGUGCUUUGGCGUUGGCGGCGGUCUAAGUUCCUUGGAACAGGACAUCGCAGAGGGUGAGAAUCCCGUAUGUGGUCGCAUGCCUUCGCCGUGUAAAGCCCCUUCGACGAGUCGAGUUGUUUGGGAAUGCAGCUCUAAAUGGGAGGUAAAUUUCUUCUAAAGCUAAAUACCGGCCAGAGACCGAUAGCGCACAAGUAGAGUGAUCGAAAGAUGAAAAGCACUUUGGAAAGAGAGUCAAACAGCACGUGAAAUUGUUGAAAGGGAAGCGCUUGCAGCCAGACUUGCCUGUAGUUGCUCACCCGGGCUCCUGCCCGGGGCACUCUUCUGCAGGCAGGCCAGCAUCAGUUUGGGCGGUCGGAUAAAGGGCUCUGACACGUACUUCCCCUCGGGGUUGACAUACAGGGGAGCCGCAAUGCGACCAGCCCGGACUGAGGUCCGCGCAUCUGCUAGGAUGCUGGCGUAAUGGCUGUAAGCGGCCCGUCUUGAAACACGGACCAAGGAGUCUAACAUCUAUGCGAGUGUUUGGGUGUCAAGCCCGAGCGCGCAAUGAAAGUGAACGGAGGUGGGAGCCCCUCGGGGUGCACCAUCGACCGAUCCUGAUGUCUUCGGAUGGAUUUGAGUAAGAGCAUAGCUGUUGGGACCCGAAAGAUGGUGAACUAUGCUUGAAUAGGGUGAAGCCAGAGGAAACUCUGGUGGAGGCUCGCAGCGGUUCUGACGUGCAAAUCGAUCGUCAAAUUUGGGCAUAGGGGCGAAAGACUAAUCGAACUAUCUAGUAGCUGGUUCCUGCCGAG